GAAAAAAUAGUUAGCAAUUUUCGUCACAUAAUUCACAACGCGCAUCUUGGUGCGGAUUCUUUUAGCAAGAACAAUAAAUUAUUCGUAGUUAUUAAAGAUUGGAGACAAUUUAAAGGAUCACUAGAAGAUAUCGUCAACUUGAAAUUUUCGGCUGGUGAAAUGGCAAGAACCAGAACCCGGAACAAAUUCGGUGGCCAGACCAUUAUCAUGUGGUGCAACAUUCGUAAUUUAAAAGGGAACGGCAUGGUUCGAGGGGCAGCAUCUGGUAAAGGCAAAAGUAGUGGACAUUCAAUAACUAUCGAUUGCAUCAUUGGAAUUAGUGGCUUGUCGCAGGAAAAAAGAUCGCUCAAACAUUUUAUGAAUUAUGUGUAAUUUGCUUUUGUAAAACAAAUGUGAAUAUCUAGAAAUAUAAUGUAGUCGAUAA